UACGGGGGGAGCAAGCGUUGUUCGGAUUUACUGGGCGUAAAGGGCGCGUAGGCGGUCACUACAAGUCAGUUGUGAAAUCUCUGGGCUUAACUCAGAACGGUCAACUGAUACUGUCGGACUAGAGUGCAGAAGGGGCAACUGGAAUUCUCGGUGUAGCGGUGAAAUGCGUAGAUAUCGAGAGGAACACCUGCGGCGAAGGCGGGUUGCUGGGCUGACACUGACGCUGAGGCGCGAAAGCUAGGGGAGCAAACGGG
rnacentral:rRNA from 1 species